GACGAACGCUGGCGGCGUGCCUAAUACAUGCAAGUAGGACGCACAGUUUAUACCGUAGCUUGCUACACCAUAGACUGUGAGUUGCGAACGGGUGAGUAACGCGUAGGUAACCUGCCUAUUAGAGGGGGAUAACUAUUGGAAACGAUAGCUAAUACCGCAUAACAGUAUGUAACACAUGUUAGAUGCUUGAAAGAUGCAAUUGCAUCGCUAGUAGAUGGACCUGCGUUGUAUUAGCUAGUAGGUAGGGUAAUGGCCUACCUAGGCGACGAUACAUAGCCGACCUGAGAGGGUGAUCGGCCACACUGGGACUGAGACACGGCCCAGACUCCUACGGGAGGCAGCAGUAGGGAAUCUUCGGCAAUGGGGGGAACCCUGACCGAGCAACGCCGCGUGAGUGAAGAAGGUUUUCGGAUCGUAAAGCUCUGUUGUUAAGGAAGAACGAGUGUGAGAAUGGAAAGUUCAUACUGUGACGG
rnacentral:rRNA from 1 species